GCCGUAGCUUCCUCUCCCGGUACCGUCAUUGGUUUCSUCCCGGGCGACAGAGGUUUACMACCCGAAGGCCUUCAUCCCUCACGCGGCAUCSCUCCSUCAGGSUUUCGCCCAUUGCGGAAGAUUCUCGACUGSAGCCUCCCGUAGGAGUCUGGGCAGUGUCUCAGUCCCAGUGUGGGUGACCAUCCUCUCAGACCACCUACCGAUCUCAGCCUUGGUGAGCCGUGACCUCACCAACAAGCUAAUCGGACGCGAGCUCAUCCUUGAGCGGCUUGCGCCUUCAGUACACCGGCCAUGCGACCGGUAACCACAUCCGGUAUUAAUCCCAGUUUCCCGGGGCUAUCCCGAUCUCGAGGGCAGAUUGCUCACGUGUUACUCACCCUUUCGCCACUGAUCGGCCCCUUGCGGGGCCUCACCGUUCGACUUGCAUGCCUAAUCCAUGCCGCCAGCGUUCAUUCUGAGCCAGGAUCAAACUCUAAUCGAAUUCCCGCGGCCGCCAUGGCGGCCGGGAGCAUGCGACGUCGGGCCCAAUUCGCCCUAUAGUGAGUCGUAUUACAUUCA
rnacentral:rRNA from 1 species